AUAGUGUAGUAUUAUUUUAAACCGUUUAACUGGUAGAAGUCAACUACCCAAAAAUGAAAUUGUUAGAGCUGCUGCUUUAGAACUCUUAAUACUUGGGUGUCUAAUUCGUUUUGUACUUUUUUCUUUUUUUUCUUUAGAAUGCCGCAAACACAGGACACAGAAGGUGUUCCUGUAUGAUAAGAUUUUGAAAAAAAGAGUUGCAAAUGGAAGAGCAGAAGUGAAAGUUAGGUGGCAAUCAUGCACGAAAUGUGACAAGGCCUGGAAGGACAUGUGGGAGCCAGCUGAGCAGUAUCACCAAAAAUAAAGUCCUGUUUAGUUCUGACCUGUAUAUGUUACAAUAUGUUAUAUGUUAAUUCUGCUGUUGGAAUAACACACACACACACACACACACACACACACACACA